GUUAUUAGUGACAGAUUACAAAUAUAAGACAACACAUUAGCAAUACAAUCAUAAUACUUUUUAUCAAAGACAUAUCAAAAUUAUAACUGUCAUUGAUUUUUUUAACCUUAUAAUUCAUGAACUAUGUCAAUUAUUUAUUUUUCAUACGUUUCUUUAAUAAACAUU